UACACUAUGGGUUCUAAGUAGUCAUGGGUCC
rnacentral:piRNA from 1 species